rfam:Camelus ferus unplaced genomic scaffold scaffold2130, whole genome shotgun sequence.
CUGUCUCUUGCUUCAACAGAGUUUGGACAGAACAG